GUUUAAGUAGUUUAAAAAAAAUAUUGGUUUGUGGGACCAAAGAUAUAAGUAUUUUAUCUUAGACC
rnacentral:tRNA from 1 species